GUUAUAUGGUCAAGUGAAGAAGCGCAUACGGUGGAUGCCUUGGCAGUCAGAGGCGAUGAAAGACGUGGUAGCCUGCGAAAAGCUUCGGGGAGUCGGCAAACAGACUUUGAUCCGGAGAUCUCUGAAUGGGGGAACCCACCUAGGAUAACCUAGGUAUCUUGUACUGAAUCCAUAGGUGCAAGAGGCGAACCAGGGGAACUGAAACAUCUAAGUACCCUGAGGAAAAGAAAUCAACCGAGAUUCCCUUAGUAGUGGCGAGCGAACGGGGAUUAGCCCUUAAGCUUCAUUGAUUUUAGCGGAACGCUCUGGAAAGUGCGGCCAUAGUGGGUGAUAGCCCCGUACGCGAAAGGAUCUUUGAAGUGAAAUCGAGUAGGACGGAGCACGAGAAACUUUGUCUGAACAUGGGGGGACCAUCCUCCAAGGCUAAAUACUACUGACUGACCGAUAGUGAACCAGUACCGUGAGGGAAAGGCGAAAAGAACCCCGGAGAGGGGAGUGAAAUAGAACCUGAAACCGUAUGCGUACAAGCAGUGGGAGCCUACUUGUUAGGUGACUGCGUACCUUUUGUAUAAUGGGUCAGCGACUUAUAUUCAGUGGCAAGCUUAACCGUAUAGGGUAGGCGUAGCGAAAGCGAGUCUUAAUAGGGCGUUUAGUCGCUGGGUAUAGACCCGAAACCGGGCGAUCUAUCCAUGAGCAGGUUGAAGGUUAGGUAACACUGACUGGAGGACCGAACCCACUCCCGUUGAAAAGGUAGGGGAUGACUUGUGGAUCGGAGUGAAAGGCUAAUCAAGCUCGGAGAUAGCUGGUUCUCCUCGAAAGCUAUUUAGGUAGCGCCUCAUGUAUCACUCUGGGGGGUAGAGCACUGUUUCGGCUAGGGGGUCAUCCCGACUUACCAAACCGAUGCAAACUCCGAAUACCCAGAAGUGCCGAGCAUGGGAGACACACGGCGGGUGCUAACGUCCGUCGUGAAAAGGGAAACAACCCAGACCGCCAGCUAAGGUCCCAAAGUUGUGGUUAAGUGGUAAACGAUGUGGGAAGGCUUAGACAGCUAGGAGGUUGGCUUAGAAGCAGCCACCCUUUAAAGAAAGCGUAAUAGCUCACUAGUCGAGUCGGCCUGCGCGGAAGAUGUAACGGGGCUCAAACCACACACCGAAGCUGCGGGUGUCACGUAAGUGACGCGGUAGAGGAGCGUUCUGUAAGCCUGUGAAGGUGAGUUGAGAAGCUUGCUGGAGGUAUCAGAAGUGCGAAUGCUGACAUGAGUAACGACAAUGGGUGUGAAAAACACCCACGCCGAAAGACCAAGGGUUCCUGCGCAACGUUAAUCGACGCAGGGUUAGUCGGUUCCUAAGGCGAGGCUGAAAAGCGUAGUCGAUGGGAAACAGGUUAAUAUUCCUGUACUUCUGGUUACUGCGAUGGAGGGACGGAGAAGGCUAGGCCAGCUUGGCGUUGGUUGUCCAAGUUUAAGGUGGUAGGCUGAAAUCUUAGGUAAAUCCGGGGUUUCAAGGCCGAGAGCUGAUGACGAGUCGUCUUUUAGAUGACGAAGUGGUUGAUGCCAUGCUUCCAAGAAAAGCUUCUAAGCUUCAGGUAACCAGGAACCGUACCCCAAACCGACACAGGUGGUCGGGUAGAGAAUACCAAGGCGCUUGAGAGAACUCGGGUGAAGGAACUAGGCAAAAUGGCACCGUAACUUCGGGAGAAGGUGCGCCGGCUAGGGUGAAGGAUUUACUCCGUAAGCUCUGGCUGGUCGAAGAUACCAGGCCGCUGCGACUGUUUAUUAAAAACACAGCACUCUGCAAACACGAAAGUGGACGUAUAGGGUGUGACGCCUGCCCGGUGCCGGAAGGUUAAUUGAUGGGGUUAGCGCAAGCGAAGCUCUUGAUCGAAGCCCCGGUAAACGGCGGCCGUAACUAUAACGGUCCUAAGGUAGCGAAAUUCCUUGUCGGGUAAGUUCCGACCUGCACGAAUGGCGUAACGAUGGCGGCGCUGUCUCCACCCGAGACUCAGUGAAAUUGAAAUCGCUGUGAAGAUGCAGUGUAUCCGCGGCUAGACGGAAAGACCCCGUGAACCUUUACUGUAGCUUUGCACUGGACUUUGAGCCUGCUUGUGUAGGAUAGGUGGGAGGCUUUGAAGCGUGGACGCCAGUUCGCGUGGAGCCAUCCUUGAAAUACCACCCUGGCAUGCUUGAGGUUCUAACUCUGGUCCGUGAUCCGGAUCGAGGACAGGAGUACGAAGGUGCGCUCAGACCGGUCGGAAAUCGGUCGCAGAGUAUAAAGGCAAAAGCGCGCUUGACUGCGAGACAGACACGUCGAGCAGGUACGAAAGUAGGUCUUAGUGAUCCGGUGGUUCUGUAUGGAAGGGCCAUCGCUCAACGGAUAAAAGGUACUCCGGGGAUAACAGGCUGAUACCGCCCAAGAGUUCAUAUCGACGGCGGUGUUUGGCACCUCGAUGUCGGCUCAUCACAUCCUGGGGCUGAAGCCGGUCCCAAGGGUAUGGCUGUUCGCCAUUUAAAGUGGUACGCGAGCUGGGUUUAGAACGUCGUGAGACAGUUCGGUCCCUAUCUGCCGUGGACGUUUGAGAUUUGAGAGGGGCUGCUCCUAGUACGAGAGGACCGGAGUGGACGAACCUCUGGUGUUCCGGUUGUCACGCCAGUGGCAUUGCCGGGUAGCUAUGUUCGGAAAAGAUAACCGCUGAAAGCAUCUAAGCGGGAAACUUGCCUCAAGAUGAGAUCUCACUGGGAACUUGAUUCCCCUGAAGGGCCGUCGAAGACUACGACGUUGAUAGGCUGGGUGUGUAAGCGUUGUGAGGCGUUGAGCUAACCAGUACUAAUUGCCCGUGAGGCUUGACCAUAUAACACCCAAACA
rnacentral:rRNA from 1 species